UUACCCAGUGUGGCUUCGGGGUUCUAGGAUUGAAACGUAAGUUUAUCUCCAACAAUAAAAGCUGUAUACGAUACUUGUUUACGGAGCAAUUCAAGCGUGUUCAUUUUAUAUCUUUUUAUAAACCUAACUGCACGAAAACCUCAGGGUGUGAGAAUUUCAAUUUUCGGUCAGUAAUCGUGAUAUAGAAACAAACGGUCUCAUGCAUUUUACCGUUUGUGACCAUGUGUUCCCUUUUUCUCAUUGUUUUAAAUUAAUUGCAUGUGCGAUCUAUAAAGUUAUCAAAUUAGACAAUCUGUACAUUGACAAUUCUGUGACAGUGGUUUGAUUUCAUAUGCACAAAAAAAUCAGAACUCCAGUAGCAAUGGGGUGUUGUACUACACAUUUGAACUUGAACUACCUAAUGUGUAGUCAGUAUUUAUUCUAGAAUGAUCGUGACUUAUCAUUAUUGCAAACAGGAGCAUGGCUACAUGCAACUCUGAAGUAGUUUCUGUCUUUAGUAUCAAUGCAUAGUACUUAUUGCUUUGUUACCAUUUGUACUCUUAUUUCUCCAUUAUCAAACGUUUGUAUGUGGUACCUGCCUGUGUUGUAAAAUGUAAAAAGCAGCACUUGUUUAUCCCGGCCAGAACUAUUAAUUGCGCCGGCUUUCAACUGGCCAUCCUGGGUCAAGAGACCGGUUGACUUAUAAAACAAAAAGCUGUUGAAAGUUAAUUUAAAUUCGCAAGUCAAGCGAUUCAGCAAGUUGGUAUAGUAUAGUGGUGCUGGAGUUUUAUCAAGAAACCAGAUAAUGUUCCAGUUCAUCAUCUCACCAGCUGUUACUGUCAUUUUCAGCAGGGUGUGGCUAUUGCCCCUUUAUAUAAACCCAAACCAGUGCAAACCAGAAUGAAAAAAAUACUGGUAAUCUUAUAGCGUGCUGUAGACCAGUAUUGAAGCAUUGUUACAGGUAAUCUUAUAGCAUGCUGUAGACCAGUAUUGAAGCAUUGUUACAGGUAAUCCUAUAGCAUGCUGUAGACCAGUAUUGAAACAUUUACAGUUAAUCUUAUGGCAUGCUAUAGACCAGUAUUGAAACAUUUACAGGUAAUCUUAUAGCAUGCUGUAGACCAGUAUAGAAGCAUUGUUACAGGUAAUCCUAUAGCGUACUGUAGACCAGUAUUGAAGCAUUGUUACAGGUAAUCUUAUAGCAUGCUGUAGACCAGUAUAGAAGCAUUGUUACAGGUAAUCUUAUAGCAUGCUGCAGACCAGUAUAGAAGCAUUGUUACAGGUAAUCCUAUAGCGUACUGUAGACCAGUAUUGAAGCAUUGUUACAGGUAAUCCUAUAGCAUGCUGCAGACCAGUAUUGAAGCAUUGUUACAGGUAAUCCUAUAGCAUGCUGUAGACCAGUAUUGAAGCAUUUACAGGUAAUCCUAUAGCAUGCUCUCUAAUGCUCUCUGUAGAAUUAUUUUUACUGCGUGUGUCAUGGGCUGGACAUCUGCUGUUGCUUUCUUCUGGUAUGAAUUGAAAUUCCUGGGCAAUAGCUUGGAAGUUAUUUUUCAUUAUGACCACUGGGCUAUAUUUGGGCCUUAAAGGGAUGCAGUGCAGAUUUCUGUAAAAGGGUAGACUUUUUUUUUAUACAUGUGUAGUUAACUUACAGCAAUAGCUACUUUUAGAUUUCCUGCCACCACCCUAUAGUUUACUCUUGGUUUAUCUAGGAUCUUUGUGAAAAUAGCAACUUGCAUGUAGUGUGUAAGAGGUGCAGUGAGCAAACAUUUUGCUAAUCAAAUAUCAGAGUUAUAAUAAUUGUCAAUAAUCUGGGCAAAUUGAGAAUUUUAAACGCAGGAAGCAAAAAUGUGUACAGUCUUUAGCCUUGAAAUAAAAACAUACAUGUGCAAGUUGUUAUGCAUCGCUUAAGGUUUCCCACAGUAAAAUCAUGCAGUGUGUUAAAGUACAGAGACAUGUUAAAGCAUUGUAAAGCACAGAGAUAUGGUAAAGCAUAUUUAAAAACAUGGUAAUCAAUUCACAGUUAGCAUUAAAAUGUAUGGGAUAGUAAUUAAAUAUAUGCAUGGAGUAAAUAUUAUUAUAUAAAAACAAGAAACAAGAAAAAAAAAAAAAAAAAAAAAAAGACAUGGUGGUCAAUAAUGAAUUGUUGCAUCUCUACUGGUCUCUAUCCAAGUCCCCAUUUCAAAUUUAGCACAGAGUAGGGAGAGAGAGAGAGUGGAGUAAAGUUCAGAACAGUUGGAGAUGGCUUGUAGUCUUUCUCAACAUUCAUUGUUCAUAAGUUCGGUGUUGCAAGAUCUAGGCCCUGAUCUGAGCUUUCCACAUCCAUUGUAGCUGCCAAUAUGGAACGAGGGGUUCCAUCGGGAGUUCUGUUUCUUGUAACACAGGAAGGCAUUGAACAGGGUAAGGAAACCAAGGACUUCCAUGAAACUUCAGACACUGCAGGAUCAAUGGGCUUCACCUGUCGCUGUACAAAGUCUGGAAAACAAAAUGAUCAGUAGGCAAACGAUAUGGCACCUGUUUGAGAGCCUUAGUUUAAGUACAUUUGAAUGUACAGAAUAGGUGCAGGACAGGCAGCUGUAAUGCAAGCUACCUGCUAUGAAAGUCUACCACAGUAAAUUGGUGCAGUAUUUUUGCAGUUUCUCCAUGCUUCCUCAUUGUUACACUAUGCAUAGUUUACCUUGGUUUGCCAUGUUUUGUAAUAUGCUUUACCAUUCCUCUCUGUGCUUUAUAGUGCUUCCCUAUGCUUUUACCUGGCAUUGACUAUGCUUACACUUUGCUGUGCUUUUACCAUAGUAAACUUUCAAGGGCCCCCGUUCUCCGUUACCCCAUGAGUGUAUCUCGAGUCUGCCCCGGAGAGAAUUCCACACCCGUCCAGUCCUUUCGUAGGCUCCCUUAGUGCAAAGAUAACAGUGAGUGUCCAUUGCCAGUUCUCAAAGACACGUAACAGCCAGUCUAAUAAAAAGGAGCCGCCCAUGGAUGCAAUCUCAAUCUACUUGCUUCAUAGGUUUGAACAAAGUCAUCAACUUUUUUUUUUUUUUAGAAUUUUAGAAUAGGUUAUGCUGCCAACAGUUUCUUGGUUUGCUUCAGAAUAUUGUUGUGGUAUGUUAAACCAUAAGAAAACAAACUUAAGUUCAAAGAUAAAUGUUUUGAUAUUGAGUGAGACUUCUAAUUGAAACAUUUGUGAUUUAACUUUUAGUAUUCCUAAAUAAGCACUAUUUAACUUUUUUUAGUGGUCACCAAUUUUUUUUAUAUUUCUCCCCAAUUUGGAAUAGUCAGUUAUUUUUAGGCUCAGCUCACCGCUACCACCUCCGUGCUGACUCUGGAGGGGGCGAAGACGAACAUGUGCUGUCCUUCGAAGUGUGUGCCGUCAGCCGACCACUUCUUUUACACACUGCAGGCCCACCAUACAGCCACUUCAGAGCUUCAGCGUCGGAGGACAACGCAGCUCUGGGAUGCUUACAGGCAAGUCCGUAGGCACCCGGCCAGACCACUGAGGUCGCUGGUGUGCAGUGUGCCGAGGACAUCCUGGCCGAUAUCUUGUGUCGUGCUGCAUGGCUUUGUUCUGUGGGUGAGCUCUUGUGCCAUGCUGCAUGGCUCUGUUCUGUGGGUGAGCUCUUGUGCCAUGCUGCAUGGUUAUGUUCUGUGGGUGAGCUCUCGUGCCUUGCUGCAUGGCUCUGUUCUGUGGGUGAGCUCUUGUGCCAUGCUGCAUGGUUAUGUUCUGUGGGUGAGCUCUUGUGCCAUGCUGCAUGGCUCUGUUCUGUGGGUGAGCUCUUGUGCCAUGCUGCAUGGUUAUGUUCUGUGGGUGAGCUCUCGUGCCUUGCUGCAUGGCUCUGUUCUGUGGGUGAGCUCUCGUGCCUUGCUGCAUGGCUCUGUUCUGUGGGUGAUCUCUUGUGCCAUGCUGCAUGGUUAUGUUCUGUGGGUGAGCUCUCGUGCCUUGCUGCAUGGCUCUGUUCUGUGGGUGAGCUCUCGUGCCUUGCUGCAUGGCUCUGUUCUGUGGGUGAGCUCUCGUGCCUUGCUGCAUGGUUAUGUUCUGUGGGUGAGCUCUCGUGCCUUGCUGCAUGGCUCUGUUCUGUGGGUGAGCUCUUGUGCCAUGCUGCAUGGUUAUGUUCUGUGGGUGAGCUCUUGUGCCAUGCUGCAUGGCUCUGUUCUGUGGGUGAGCUCUUGUGCCAUGCUGCAUGGUUAUGUUCUGUGGGUGAGCUCUCGUGCCUUGCUGCAUGGCUCUGUUCUGUGGGUGAGCUCUUUUGCCAUGUGUAUGGCUCUGCUCUGCCUAUUCAUCCAGGGCAUUUCCUGUGCUGUAAGAUUACUGUCGUUAAAUCCAUGGGUGCUUGUCCCAACGGGGUAUUUGUUGAUCAAAUUAAGUUAUUUAAUAUAUUUUAAUACAUUUUUUUGGAUUGAUUUUAUCUAAAACACAUUAGUAUUAAACUGGCCUUUAAUAGAAUGGGGAUGCCUUGCCUUUUUUUAUAUAAGUAUAGACUAUGUAAUAUAAUAAUUACUGUACAUAACAGUAUGUAGGAAAACCGUUCAAUCAGCAAGAGACUUCUGAAACGGCAUAAACCACAAAAACAAACACUGAACAGAAAUGUAUUAAUAGCUCAUACAGUCUCCGAGUAGAUCCCCUGGUAAAAGUUUGUCCGUAUGGUGUGCAGGGUGAGUUGUACAGUCAGGAGUGCAGGUUCAGGGUGAGUUGUACAAUGAGGCGUGCAGGUUCACGUCCUGGCUGUGCGACUGUCUUCGUUGGGGAUUCCAGAGGGAGCGUUGCAUUGGCUUGAGCGCUCCUGUAGGUUAGGGAGGCAGAAUCACCGGUUUCUCCUUGUACAGCAGACCCUGCUAGCCUGGUGCCUAAUGAGCUCAAGCAGAUGCUUCAGGGCUGGCCUUUGUGCUCUGGAGGCCGGUAGCUCACCGACAUCCUCUCUCCAGUCCCUUGGAACAGUGAGCUGGUCGUGGGAUUGGAGAAUGCCCAUUGACCUUAAAUUCCCCUUAGCUGUUGUAUUGAAAUGUUAUUUACCAAUAAUAUUGGCCAGUGCAGCCAAGCUUGGCAACUCCACGCCAACAGGAUUCAAAGAAGAUGACUCGCCCUGCACUCCCUUGGCACUGCCUAUGCAAGGUGAGCCACUGGGGAGCAGCAUCUUUAUUAACCUGGUGUGACCCUUCACAGCUUUUGGUGACAUGUCUUGGCAUGUACAAGCCGCUUGCACAAGUCUAGGGAGACCUUUUCUGUUGCUGACUCCAAUUGCUCUGAUAUUUUUAUGAACAUGUGGCCAUGACUCAAUCAAUCUGAACACAUUCCAGACUAUAUUUUCACUGGACUGCGAGUCGGCAAAGGAAAACGGUUGCAGCAUCUUGUUUCCAAGUGUGUCUCGGAUACCUCAAACAAACAGUAUGUUACAACAGUCAUCCUUCCAUUGAAGUGGGAGGGAAUGGUCCUGCUGCCUCCUCUACCCAGACUACCUGUGGGAAAGAGAAAGUGGUAAUUGAGAGAAUCAGAGUCUGUGUGAGCCCACUUGAUGUCCUGAGCCGAAGGAAUGCGGGUAUGUGCUGGCAGGGGCUGUUCUCAGUGCCAGUGGAAAAGCUGAGUUAAUCUGCCACUCCCUGAACAGCUGGCAGACUGACAAGCUGUCCAGUAGCUGUGUAGUAUGUGUGUGUCUGAAAAUGUACAAACAAAAAGAUGCUAUUCAGCACAUCAAUGCUCGUCCGGCUCCUAGUAGUUGAUUGUCAAGUUGGGUCUUUAUGGAUCUCAAAGAUUUAGCAUUACCAACAUGGCCUGGAAACACAUUCCAAGCCCCCACCACUGUGAAUACUGGUUCACUCUGUGUGAAGAAGUUUCUCCUGCCCUCUGUCCUAAUUUUCUCGACACUUAAUUUCGAGUUUAAAAAAUAAAAUAAAAUCUCUUCUCCUACAUGCCCUCUAAAUGUUGUCUUUUCAAACCAUGUAGAGCAGUGGUUAUCAGACUGUGCCCCAGAGAGGGUGUAAUUGUUCCAUGGGAGGAGCCAUGCCUGUCCUGCCAACUCUUUUUUUUGCAGCUGCAACGUACAAGCCCUUAGUUUAGAGCGAUUUCAGACAAUCGGCAGGAACCAGAGUCUAAUCUGUCACCAGCGGGCCUUACCAGGUACUGUUGCUUAAUUGGGUCCCCUAGUCCUGGUUUCUAGGGUAAAAGAUCAAGUCCCUGCAUGCCAUCUAUCCCACAUACUGUACAUACAUGUAUGUCACACGUCAUGGUGGUCUCCUCUUUCAAGAUCUAGUAUACAUGGCAGGGAGGCCCGUGUAUGAUAAAUGGCAGGUUUUGUAAGGGAGCGAGUAUGUUCCAGCUGUAUAUUUCAAUGUUUCUGUGCUGCUCUGCAGUAUAGGGGCAAGCUGUGUAAUAAGAAACUUGUUUCACAGCUUCCCUGCCGUUCAGCCUCAAACUAUCCGCCUGUCACAUUGUGAAACCGUGCAGCGAGUGAACUAGCAUUCAGACGAGCAGUUUAAGUAGGUCCCAUGCUGUUCCUAUUGAAGAAAACAGAAACACGUUCUUGUUCUACCCUCUCCAAUUAGAACAGCUAUAUGACUCAUUUUUUGUUUAAGGCUGUGUAUCUGUUUUAAAUAUUUUAUAAAAUAUAGAUUUUCAAUAUCCAUUGAAUGCACUUGAAGCUGUAGAAUGCUGUGGACUGGCUGUGCACUGUGAGGAGUGGAAUGCUGUGGGCUGGCUGUGCAUUGGGAGCUGUGGAAUGUUGUGGACUGGCUGUGCACUGGGAGCUGUGGAGCAGCAUGCUUCAUCACACUCCAGUGCAGAGAGGGCCAUGGGUUCAGUGUGCAGGGCUGGGCUGGAGGCUGGAGUUCAUUCUGUCGCAGCUCGGACUGGAAGCAGCUGGAAACACUUCCUCACAGCCUCCGUCUUAAUCAGAACUCUAACCCCCCAGACCAGUGCUGUCCAGAGGAUGUACUUGAGUCGUAUAGGGUUCAGUGAGCUCCAUGCUCCAUAUACAGCUGUCUUGAUUUAGCCGUGAAGGCUGGACAUUUAGGAGUUUAGUAAAAGCAAGAACAAAUGUUUAUACAUGUGAACUGUUUAAUGAGCAUGUGUAGUAAAUAGUCCAAUUCUUCUUUUUUUUUUUUUUUUUUUUUGCUUUUUAUGGGUCAUCAAUAUGGUUCUUUCAUCCAAAAAAGUCUGCCCUAGAGCAGAAGGUAAAGGCUGUGUGCUUCUUCCUUUUCCAGCCAGAGAUACAUGCAUUUAAAGUGCAGGGCUGUGUUUUUUAACAUAUUGACAACUCUUUUAAUUGCGCAUCAUGGGUCAUAAGCCACCCGAGCAAUAUAUUUCUCAACAUUUCCUCAGGAGAGUUUGCCAGGAGAAAAAAAAAAAACAUCUUGUAAAGUUCACUUUGUAUCCAGAACACAUCUGUAGCAAUGCUGUUUUUCUAUUCCCACAAUGCACCACUCAUCAGUCGGAGCCCCAGCAGCUUGGCCGGAGGGAGCAUGAACUUGAUCCACAGCAAUUUCUUUCUCCUGGCCAACGUUCCUGAAUAAUAGUUAAAUAAUAAUUUGAUGGGGACGAGAGUGUGAGGCAGAGACUGGGGGGUCAGUGCAGGGUUCUCCAGAGCUGGAGGAUGGUGAUGACCAUAAUGACGACAAUGAUG